AACUAUGGCUGAAAACGUGCGCAGGCGUCGGUAUGCAUUGGCAUCACUGGGUUGCUUUACAGUCUUUUCCAGGACCUCACCCAUGGCACGUAUGAUGGACUCAGGGGAACUGUCAGUUGUGCUGCGGGGAGUAAACAAAGUUUGUACGUCACUGAGUGAUUUACCUUCUUUCAUCAGGAACUUAGCAAGUUUCUCAGUAAAAUCUCCAGAGGCAGUGUCAGGUACGGAUUCUCUUGGUUGGACUGCUGUGAUGGUCCAUGGCUCUUUAUUUUCUCCAGGUGACACUUCUGGAGGUAGGUGUGUGGUGUCAAUGGCUUGUCUGCACUCACACAACGCAAAGACAAAUCGUGAGGUAGGUCCUUCUCUUGUGUCUCUGACACGAACUCUUCCUAGGGCUUUUAUGGUUUCCAAAGUCUCUUCCAUCUUAGCCACUUCUGUGUGUACAGGUACAUUAAUCAACAUUAAAGCAUGACCCUCAUCAACACCAACAUCUUUGCACCAGCUGAUUAACUCUGCUUGCAGGAAUUCUUCAGUGACUUACCAGAGGGAGAUCCCGGACGAGCCCCCAAUUUAUGUAGCGCCCCCUACCUCCUUUUAUAAUGGCUUAGUAAGGAGCAGCACCAGGUUCAAUAAACUAAUGCCUAAGAGAUGGUGUAUUAAAAAGGCCCCUCUGACGUCACUGAACCAUAUACUUUUCUUUUAGACAGUUAAUCAGAAUAAAAUAUAUACUCACAGUUUGACUGAUCAAGAAUAAACCCUUUAGAAUAAAUAAAACACUUGAAGUAGAAGAAAAUAAACA